rnacentral:rRNA from 1 species
AUUGAACGCUAGCGGGAUGCUUUACACAUGCAAGUCGAACGAGUGGCGGACGGGUGAGUAAUAUAUCGGAACGUGCCCAGUAGCGGGGGAUAACUACUCGAAAGAGUGGCUAAUACUGCAUACUAUUGGAUCGGCCGAUAUCGGAUUAGCUAGCUGGUGGGGUAAAGGCUCACCAAGGCAACGAUCCGUAGCUGGUUUGAGAGGACGACCGACCACACUGGAACUGAGACACGGCCCAAACUCCUACGGGAGGAAGCAGUGGAGAAUUUUUGACAAUGGGGGAAACCCUGAUCCAGACAUCCCGCGUGUAUGAGAAGGCCUUCGGGUUGUAAAAUACUUUUGGCAGAGAAGCGGUAUCUGCAGAAUAAGCACCGACUAACUACGUGCCAGCAGCCGCGGUAAUAC